GAUGAAGAACGUAGCGAAAUGCGAUAAGUAAUGUGAAUUGCAGAAUUCAGUGAAUCAUCGAAUCUUUGAACGCACCUUGCGCCCUUUGGCUAUUCCGAAGGGCAUGCCUGUUUGAGUAUCGUGAACACCUCAACUCUCAUGGUUUGCCAUGAUGAGCUUGGACUUGGGGGUUUUGCUGGCCUUCGGUCGGCUCCUCUCAAACGGAUCAGCUUUCCAGUGUUUGGUGGCGUCACGGGUGUGAUAACUAUCUAUGCCUGUGGUUUUCUGCCAGAUAACCUUCAGCGAUGGAGGUUCGCUGGGGCUCAUAAAUGUCUCUCUUCAGUGGAGACAGCUUUUUGGACGUUUGAUCUCAAAUCAGGUAGGACUACCCGCUGAACUUAAGCAUAUCAAUAAGCGGAGGA
rnacentral:misc_RNA from 1 species